rnacentral:misc_RNA from 1 species
GAUGAAGAACGCAGCAAAAUGCGAUAAGUAGUGUGAAUUGCAGAAUUCAGUGAAUCAUCGAAUCUUUGAACGCACAUUGCGCCCGCUGGUAUUCCGGCGGGCAUGCCUGUUCGAGCGUCAUUUCAACCCUCAAGCCCCCGGGUUUGGUGUUGGGGAUCGGCUCUGCCCUUCUGGGCGGUGCCGCCCCCGAAAUACAUUGGCGGUCUCGCUGCAGCCUCCAUUGCGUAGUAGCUAACACCUCGCAACUGGAACGCGGCGCGGCCAUGCCGUAAAACCCCAACUUCUGAAUGUUGACCUCGGAUCAGGUAGGAAUACCCGCUGAACUUAAGCAUAUCAAUAAGCGGAGGA